UAGUUAUAUGUGUCAAGCAUCUAUGUCAGUUACAUUUAUCAACUGAUUUAACUAGAUCAAUAUAUGUCAGUGAACACAGAUCUGAGUUAAGUGGCUACACUGUGUCCACCAUGUGGCCAGAACUCUUCGGGUCUGAGGACACUGUUCACCUCCAUACAUGGUAGGUUUUCUUCCAGCUUUUUAUUGAAAUCUCAAACUGUGUCUUGAUUAGAAGAGAAACCCUAAACGUUUUCUCUAGGGGAAACAAGAAUGUGCAAAGCUUCUGGACUUGGAACAAAAUGAUGAAAACUGUUAUCCAGAGAGUCUGCAUUUCCUGGGAGGCGAAAAUAAACCUAAACCCGGGACAGAACUGAGAACUCUGUGACCAGAAGCUGGUGUUCUGAGGGCUGAUGUCACACAGCCCAGCGGGUCUCAAAGCCCCAGAACAUACCUGUCCCUCCCUUGAGGUCAGGCACAAGACGGUGCAUCUGGAAGUCAGCUCAGGACGCCUGGACUCAGGGAGGCGUUGCUACCAUUCGAAUCAUUGGCUUUUCUCCGGGAGUCACUUCUCUUCUCUCCAGGGAUUACCAAGCCUUUGAAGGGACCCUCUUCUCAAGGCUCAGAGCAUUUGAUUAAAUUGCUCGUUCCAGGUGUGCGCUUGGCCACAAGAUGAUACUUGAGAGGCUUGACUUCAAGAUUAUGAUCACUGUUGCAGGCGGCCUCCUGAUGGCCGCGAGCCUGCUGAUGUGCUUUAUCAUCUGUCUUAGCUACAAAGUGGCAAAGUCAGUGAAGGAAGAGAAGACGGGAAAUGUAACAAGCAAUGACGCUGACACAAAAGACAAGAAACCCAGUUUGGAAGCAGGUCAACCUGAGGUUCCGCCAACUCCAGCGUCAAAGCCCCGGUGACAGAGUCUCGGAGAGAGAUGCCCUGGGGACCCUCAGUCCAGGCAGGUGUGACCCCGGCAUCUCCCGGGCCACAGUCCUGCCUCGGGAAGUACAGUCAGCCCGGCUGCCUCCUGGCUUGGUCCCUUCAGUGUCUGCACUCCCUCUGGGUAGGAGCCGCCUUACAUCCCAGGGUCCCAGCACACAGCCCAGAACCUUAGGUGUCAGGGGUAAUCACCUGUCACCUUUGCGCCAGAUAAACCUCUCAGGCAUAGCAGUAAAUCAUGAAUAACAUUAAUUUUGCUUACUGGUAACAGUAUGUUACACCUUAGAAUGUUUAGUAAAAUAAUUUCCUGC